UGCUGCUGCUUGGGAAUCUGGAACAGCCCUACUGACAUGUUCUGCUCCAUAUCAGGCGGAAGGCUGGCCUGCCCAAGAAUGCCACAGAGAUUCUAAGACUUUAAUCAGCUAGCUUCUUUCAGCCUCUUAUUAUUUGUGUCAUGGGGGUAAAUAUCUUCUAAAUAAAUAUAGAAUAUUGGAUUAUAUAUUUGGAGCAAAUAAGCAUCAGGUGCUAUCAAAGAACUCAAUUCAACUUUAUUGAGAACCUUCCAUAUAAAGAUACUGUGCAGCAGCCUGCAAGGUAAAGAUAUGAGGGAAGAGAAAGUAUACUAAGUGGGAGCCCGGCAAAGGUGUGGAAGUACUGAAGGUCAAAUGAUCCUAUUUGCUAAAUGUAGGACACCUGGAAGAGAGUCCCUGUGACAUAAACUUGGAAAGCAAAUGCUGAUCGAAGCCCGGAGCAGAUGGACGUUCCUCCUGUGGCCACUGUAGCUUGUUACAAAUGGCAGAUCAUAUCACACAUAAAUAUGAGGGCAGCAUCCCAAAGACCAAGACCAGUGAACGUACCGCCAUGCUUCCAGACUUAUCAAGAACUAAACACACAAUUCUUUGUCCGAUCUGCAGCAAUGAGAAUGUGGGUGUCGGUG